AUUCACAGCUGCAUUUAAUCCAGAAUGAAACCCCUGCCAUGCACAAGCCCCACUUAAAGGGCAGAGAUGUUGAGCAGCUGAAGAGAUGGCUCACAUAUGGCAGAAAAUCAACAAUGAUUCAGCCAGAAACCUCUCCAGAAAAUAUUAUGUGGCAAAAAAACACACUAUUUAUUUUAAAUAAAUAGCAUCACACAAAUGUCCACUGUCCAGACCUUACACAGAUUUAGCAGCCAGCACUUGGAUGACUCCAGCCUAACUCAGUCUGGUCUUUAGAAAACAGAUUUUGUUCUUUUGGCAAACUGGAUAAGAAUAUAAUAGCAAAAAUCACCUUUAAUGGCAAACAUAAAUUCAGAGUUACACAUGUAAAAAGUAUUGGGCAUAUCUGGAAAUUAAUUAACUGGGAGCAUUGAAAGGGUAUGAGUGUCAGGGAGUGAGGCUGAAAUGUGAACUUCCAGCAGCUUUUCCUUGCUUCCAUGAGUUCCAGAAGAAGUGGUGGACAGGUGUAACUUAUCAAAUGGAGAAGAGAACAACCAUUAAUCACGGAGCAGGAGCCAGGGCAGGGAGGCAGAGUGCACUGUCUGCCAAGCCCUUUUCUGCAGAUUACUUGAUAACAAUAUUAAGAUUGAUCACACACUGCUGAUCUUUCAGUUCUGUCCCCCAGCUCCCACUUGCUCCAUCAUAAUCCCCUCAUGCCAGCAGGAGCAGCUCAGGGAAGACAAUAAACCGAGAGGAGUGCUUGGAAAAGAGAGGGCUGAGCAAUCCAUUUCCUGCUGUUGUUUAUGGGAUUCAGUUCCAAGAGGCCUGGCUCUUCCAGAACACUCAGCAAGAGGUUUCAGGUGUCUGAGGCUGUGGGUGCAGGGAUGUUCUGGGGGUCUCCUGCCUAAAGCUUCAGCCUGGCAAUAUUGAUGGUUUUAACAGCUCAGGUUCUUUUUGGGAUCCAUUCCAAAGUGACUUUGCUGCAGAGUGCUGUGUUCAUGAGAAG
rnacentral:lncRNA from 1 species